ensembl:scaRNA small Cajal body-specific RNA 8
UGGGACGCUGAUACUCAAACAGAGAAAAGCAUUACUCUAGUUGCCACAAGUGCUCCCUAUAAUAAAAUUGCCUUUUGAUGACCGGGAUGAAUUGAGGGAAAUCAUAACGGACAGAUACGAGGCAUACAAGU